AACGAACGCUGGCGGCAGGCUUAACACAUGCAAGUCGAACGAUGUAGCAAUACAUAGUGGCGCACGGGUGAGUAACGCGUGGGAAUGUACCAUUUGGUGGGGAAUAACUUUGGGAAACUAAAGCUAAUACCGCAUACGCCCGAGAGGGGAAAGAUUUAUCGCCAAAUGAUCAGCCCGCGUGAGAUUAGGUAGUUGGUGGGGUAAUGGCCUACCAAGCCUACGAUCUCUAGCUGGUCUGAGAGGAUGAUCAGCCACACUGGAACUGAGACACGGUCCAGACUCCUACGGGAGGCAGCAGUGGGGAAUAUUGGACAAUGGGCGAAAGCCUGAUCCAGCAAUGCCGCGUGAGUGAUGAAGGCCUUAGGGUUGUAAAGCUCUUUUGCCAGGGAAGAUGAUGACUGUACCUGGAGAAUAAGCCCCGGCUAACUUCGUGCCAGCAGCCGCGGUAAU
rnacentral:rRNA from 1 species